rnacentral:rRNA from 1 species
CCUACGGGGGGCUGCAGUCGAGAAUUUUUGGCAAUGGGCGAAAGCCUGACCAAGCGAUGCCGCGUGCGGGAUGAAGGCCUUCGGGUUGUAAACCGCUGUCAGUGGGGAGGAAAGCUUUGUGAAGAGCAAGGCUUGACCUAUCCGCAGAGGAAGUGUGGGCUAAGUUCGUGCCAGCAGCCGCGGUAAGACGAACCACACAAACGUUAUUCGGAAUUACUGGGCUGCGAAGAUGCGUAAGCUGCGCAGGAGGGAAAUACCUGGGCUCAACCGAGGAACUGCGCCGAAAACUACUGUGCUGGAGGAAGAUAGAGGUAAGCGGAACUUACGGUGGAGCGGUGAAAUGCGUUGAUAUCGUAAGGAACACCUGUGGCGAAAGCGGCUUACUGGGUCUUUUCUGACGCUGAUGCACGAAAGCUAGGGGAGCAAACGGGAUUAGAUACCCCAGUAGUC